rnacentral:siRNA from 1 species
UCUGCCACUUACAAUACCCCG